rnacentral:rRNA from 1 species
CAUGCGCGUGCUACCAUGCAAGUCGAACGUGAUCCGCCCUUCGGGGUGGUGAAAGUGGCGCACGGGUGAGUAACGCGUGGAUAAUCUGCCCGAGGAUUUGGGAUAACAUCUCGAAAGGGGUGCUAAUACCGAAUAAGCCCACGGGGUCUACGGAUCUUGCGGGAAAAGGGGGGGACCUUCGGGCCUCCUGUCCUUGGAUGAGUCUGCGUACCAUUAGCUAGUUGGUGGGGUAAUGGCCUACCAAGGCGACGAUGGUUAGCUGGUCUGAGAGGAUGAUCAGCCACACUGGAACUGAGACACGGUCCAGACUCCUACGGGAGGCAGCAGUGGGGAAUUUUGCGCAAUGGGGAAACCCUGACGCAGCAACGCCGCGUGGGUGAUGAAGGCCUUCGGGUCGUAAAGCUCUGUCUGGAGGGAAGAAAUGAUUGGGAGCUAAUACCUCUUGAUCUUGACGGUACCUCUGAAGGAAGCACCGGCUAACUCCGUGCCAGCAGCCGCGGUAAUACGGAGGGUGCAAGCGUUGUUCGGAAUUAUUGGGCGUAAAGCGCGUGUAGGCGGUCUUUUAAGUCUGAUGUGAAAGCCCCGGGCUCAACCUGGGAAGUGCAUUGGAAACUGGGAGGCUUGAGUACGGGAGAGGAGAGUGGAAUUCCUAGUGUAGGAGUGAAAUCCGUAGAUAUUAGGAGGAACACCGGUGGCGAAGGCGGCUCUCUGGACCGAUACUGACGCUGAGACGCGAAAGCGUGGGUAGCAAACAGGAUUAGAUACCCUCUAGUCCACGCCGUAGACGAUGAGUACUAGUGUUGCGGGUAUUGACCCCUGC